AGUUUCUCUUCACCUUUAAACAUUUUUUUCUCAAUUUCACGAAUUGGGUUUCCUUUGUUUUUUUCUCUUAUGAUUUGGAAGCUUCAUAUCCUAUUUCUGAUCUAUGUCCUAUUUCUAUUUUACUAACAGUUACACUUACAUUUUAGACAUAAACAAAUACAUAUAUAUAUGUUUUGUUUUGAUCUUAAUUUAUAUGAUAUACACAAAUUUAAAUAUAUGUAUAUUCACAUGUUACAUAUGUUUAGUUAGAUGUUUUAGCAAUACUGAAUACUAAUUUUUUAUUUAAAUGAAAGUGAGCAUGUAAAACACCUGAUGAUCAUUUAUUAAUACAAAGUCAUCUAUCUACCUCAAGUAUUAAACAGGCAUAACACAAACAGUAAAUUAAAAGGCAAUGUUAGAAACACAUUAUUUUGUGAGUUUCAAACUUCAGUAUCAACAACUUCAGGGACAUUUUUCAAUAAAAACAUCUAUCAAUAAUAGCACUAUUCCAAGCUUUCUAUUUUUUUAUAGCCUUAUGUUCUUUUGCUCUUCAAUAUGUAGUACUUCUAAAUUAUUUGUAACUAUUAAUAAAAUAUUACUUUUUAAACUUUUCCUCUGAAAAUAAUUUUAUGGUAUGAUUUGCACCACAUGAGUUUAGAUAAUGGAAUGAGCCUGAACUGCAGCAAAAUGCCUAACAAUGAAGGCUAAGAGUUUUUAAAGAUCAGUGUCCAAAUCUGUGGCAAUGUUGGGGUAACAGGAUGUGAGGCUCUUAAGGAGCAGAAGCCAGUCUGUUUCUGUGAAGCACCAGAUUCUCAACUUUUACCUUAAAGGUAUAAAAAUUAAAUUAUUUUGCAGUUCAAAAGGCUGCCUGCAGAUAUACCGCACAGAGUUGUAAGGGAAACAGCCUUAAUUACAGACAUGGUCACGGAUGCUAUACUGGUCUAGAUCUGCCCUGUCCAACGUGGCGGCCUCUGGUCUCAUGUGACUGAGCGCUUGAACUAUGGUGAGGUGGAACUGAGAUGUGCUUUAAAUGCAAAAUAUACACCAGAUUUCAAAGACUCAAUACGAAGAAGAAAAAUUUAUAUAAAGUAUCUCAUAAACAAUUCUUAUAUUGAUUACAUGUUGAAAUAGGAUAUUAAUUUCACCUGGUUCCUUUUACUAUUUUAAUAUGGCUACCAGGUUUAAAAUUUCAUAUGUGGUUCUCAUUAUUCAGAGGUAAUAUGUUAAUUAUCAUUUUCUUGGAGUUCCAAUAAUUGUCUUGGCAACAUCUGUGACAGUUCCAGGUCUGCCUAGUUUAAUUCAGUCCAAAGGAUUUCAGCAGUAAUUUGCUGAAAACAGGAGGGAGUAUCCUCUCUUUAAUGAGACAAAUGUCUACUGAAGUCAUUUUCAUGGCAAAAUGGUAGCUGCCUUUUUUUGAUUUAGUUAUUAUCAUAUGUUCCAACUUCAUGAUAGGGCUCAGUAAUGGGAGCAGUGGCUGAAUUUCUGAGUCUGGAUUUACUUUGUUUUUGUACCAUAUUAUUCCUGUUUUUCUAACUACUCAGAGCCCUUGCAGUUGAUAAAUUACACUAAACUACUCCUGUGCUCCAUAGAUAUAUUACUCUAAAAUCCUGACUUCUUAUUGUUAUUGUUGUCCUCUAUGAAGAGUAACAUCCAAGCCUCCUGACAAUAUCAUCCUUUUAGGAAAAAAUGUGAUCUUAUUGUUUGCUUAGUCACUGUUCUAAAAGAUUAGUGGAUGUGCUCAUUUUGGCAGUACAUAUACUAAAAUUGGAAUGAUACAGAGAAGAUUAGCAUGGCCUCUGAGCAAGGAUGACAUGCAAAUUCAUGAAGUAUUCCAUAUAAAAAUACUCUAAAAAUAAAAAAAUAGGCCGGGCACAGUGGCUUACGCCUGUAAUCCCAGCACUUUGGGAGGCCGAGGCGGGCGGAUGACGAGGUCAGGAGAUCUAGACCAUCCUGGCUAACACGGUGAAACCCCGUCUCUACUAAAAAUACAAAAAAAUAGCCAGGCUUGGUGGCAGGCAUCUGCAGUCCCAACUACUCGGGAGACAGGCAGGAGAAUGGCGUGAACCCAGGAGGCGGAGCUUGCAGUGAGCCAAUAUCACACCACUGCACUCCAGCCUGGGCAACAGAGCGGGACUCUGUCUCAAAAAAUAAAUAAAAAUAAAUACAUAAAUUUUAAAAAUAUUAGUGGAUAAAGCACAUGGCUUGAGUAGGGUUCCCUGCAAUGUCCUCACCCCAUGGCCUUCUGACUGCCUUCUGCCCUUGCUGUUAUGUGGCCAGAGCCUGACACACCCCAACCCACCCCACAGGCUUCACUUCAAACACCCUGUGCCUGCCAUGGGCCCCACCUGUCAGCCUCAAUGCCCCAGUCCUAAGCCUGAACCUACAUACUUUCUCUCAACAUCAAGACUUACCCGAAUAUAUGCCAAACUCCCUCAAACAAAACAUAACACAAUAAAAUGUGAGCAGCUGCUUUAUUUUUCUUAUCUUUUAUCCGUUUGUUGAAAUCUUCUGGAAUUUUAGUUUUGCAUUUUUUUAAUGUUAUGUUUUUAUUUCAGGAAUUCAUUUUAACAGUUGUAUUAAACUGUGCAACUACAUUGUCAAAAAUUAUUUAGACUUAAUUAGUCACAGGGUUUGCUGGUUCCUUUGCUCAUGGUGGCUUGGCAUGGACUAUAGCUUCCCUUUUGCUAACUUCCUUAUCCUGAUUCAUUUCUCAUUUGCCUAAGGCAUCCUUCAGGGGACUUUUCCUCUUUCUUUCCCAGAAAGAAUAUAUGAUAAUUUGGGGGUCCACUGUAUCUAAACAAGAAUUUACUGUAGUCGCCCAUUUGACAUCUUAGAUCUACAAUUCUAAUCUCAAAAUUAUUUGCCCCCAGAACUUUGUGAGCACUGUUUUAUUAUUAUUAUUUUCUUUUUAGAGACAGGGUCUCACUCUGUCACCCAGGCUGGAAUGCAGUGGUGCAAUCAUGACUCACUGCAGCCUUGAAUUCCCAGGCUCAAGUGAUUCUCUUACCUCAGCCUCCCGAGUCUCUGGGAUUACAAGCAUAUGCCACCAUACUCAGCUAAUUUUUUUUUUUUUUUGUAGAGAUGGGUGUCUCACUAUGUUGCCCAGGCUGGUCUCAAACUCCUGGCCUUUAGUGAUCCUCUCACCUUGGCCUCCCAAAGUGUUGGGAUUACAGGCGUGAGCCACUGCACUCAGCCCCGUUACUUUCCAGCAUUUAAUGUUAUUUGACACUUUAGUUGACACUCUGAUUCUUAGUCUUUUAUAGAUUGCCUAUUUGGUUGUGCUCUCUUGCUCUCUUUCCCCAGAGACUUUACCAAGGUAUGUCUCAGUCCAUCCCCAAUUCUUGCUUAACACUGUUUAGAGAAAACUCCCUCUAACCGCACUUUUCCUCUACUCUCACACAACAAUCAUCAACACAGAAGACUUCUGUGAUCAAAUAUGGGUUAAUUCCCCAUACACCCAUCAGCAGACACCAGCUGCAUGUCCUCUAAUUCAAUUCCAACACUAUUUACCUAGAGAUGGUGUCAGAUCCCACAGGCUGAGGGGUCAGUCCCCAAGACUGCCCCUCCACACCAGUCGCCAAGUCCGGGCCUUCAGAACUUCUGACCAACCAGCUUCAAAGUUCCCAUGACCCCUUCUUUGGGUUCAAUAAAUUUGCAGAAGCAGUUCAUACAACUCAGGGAAACACUUAGUUCACCAGUUUAUUGCUCUAUACUGGAAAAAAUACAGACGAAGAAACGCUAGGGCAAGGUAUGGGGGAAGAGGCUUGAAGCUUCCAUGCCCUACCUGGGCACACCACUCUCCCGGAACCUCCACAUGUUCAGCUAUUGGGAAGCUCUCUGAACCCUGUCCUCUUGGAAUUUUGAGUCUUAAGACCCACAAUCAGAAAGGUGGGAGAAUAUUAGAGUGGAAGGAGGGCAGAACACCAGAGGCCUACCUGAGGCCUAACACAUCCAACAUUAUAACAAGACUGUGUAAGGGCUGUGGGAGUUAUGAGCCAAAGAACCCUGGAUGAAAAACCUACAUAUAUAUAUAACACCACACACUCAGUAGAUGCUUUUGAUAUGAACUAUGUAUUUCACUCAGAAGAAUUAUCUGCUCUCAAUAAUGCAAUUAUCAUCUACCUCUCUCCUUUUUACUUUCUAUAGAUUCCCCAUUAUAUGGAUAUUAGUUACCUGGAAUCUGUCAUACUACUUAACUCCUCACUCUAGCUCUGUCUGCUGAAGAUUGUAAAAUAAUUCCACAGCUUAUUCUUCCUUUUAACUAUCUUGUUUCAGCCCUUUCCAUUUUAAAAAUUCAGUUCUUCCACUAAGAUUUUUAUUUUAACCAUUAGAAUUCUUGUUUCCUGGGCCUUUAUUUCACAGCUGUGAUAGAUUCUGAAGCAGGCUCCAUGAUCCCUACCUCCUGGUAGUUGUCAUUUUUAAUACCCUUCCCUAAGAGUGGGAAGGACCUGUGUCUUGCUCUCACCCUACAGAAUACAGCAAAGAUGACAAAGUGUUGCCUGUGUGAUUACAUUACAGAAGAUAGUAACAUCUGUGCUACUGGAAAGGCUCUCUCCCCUGCCGGCUUUGAGGAAGCAAGCAGCCACACUGGAAUGCCUACAUGGCAAGGAACUGAGGGCAACCUCCAGCCAACAGAUGGCAAGAACUGAGGCCCUCUGUCCAGCCAUCUGUAAGAAACUGAAUGUUGCCCAACCACCAUGUGAGCUGAGAAGUGGAUCCUUCCCCAACAAGCCUCAGAUGAGACCACAGUCCUGACCAACACCUUCAUUGCAGCCCUGUGGGUCCCUGAAGCAGAGGACCCAGCUAAGCCUGAAAGAAACUACAAGGUCAUUAAUGUGUGUUGUUUAAAGUCACUAAGUUUGUGGUGAUAUUGUUAUGUAACAAUAUACUAAUACAAUAGCUGCCUAUUUUAAUUUGGUGGCUACCAUGUCUUCUGGGAUCGAGACUUUCUAAAGCUCUACUCAGUCUCCUGAAUCAAUGGUUUUCUUUGAUGGGAAUCACUCUGCUUCUUCUCUGGGUGCCUCUCAUGAUGUUGGGUUUUUCAGAAGUCUCAUGAAUCUUGCAUGGUUGUGAAGUGCACAUAAAGUCCCUAGCUGUAAAGAACUUUCUAAUGGGUGUGAAAUAGGAUUAGAGACAAAGACAGUAAGCAUAAGUAUUUUCAGUUAGUAACAGUUACCAAUAAAAAAUGUAGGAUAAUAUGAUAGUGAUGGCAUGCACGUGUUGGAAGUUAGUGGAGGCUAUCUCCCCAGUGGUCAAAGGAGGUCUUGCUGGAGAAAUUAUAUUUUACUAACUUGAAGCAGCAGCUGUAAGGAAGAGCUUUCCACACUCAAAGAACAGUGUAAUGUUCCCUACCCCACAUUGCUGCUGUAACAAACUACCAUAAACUUAGCAGCUUAGAACCACACACAGUUAUGACCCCACAGUUCUGUACAUCAGAAGUAUAGGAGUCUCUACCAGUUUCUCUGCUCUGGGUCCCAUAAGACUGAAAUCAAGGUGUCAGCCGGCCUGGAUUCUCAUCUGGAACCUCUGGGUGAGGCUUCCUGGCUUAUUUAGGUUGCUGGCAGAAUUCCCUUCUAUGCAGUUCUAGGACUGACACCUCUGGUUUUUGUUGGCUAUUGUCUGGAGGCUCCUGUCAGCUCCUAGAGACUUCUCUCCAGCCUUCGUGCAUGGGCUCCUGAUUCACAGAGCUGCAACUUCAGAGAAAAUCCUUCUCAUGCUCGGAAUCUUGGACAUCCUCUCUGCCACAUCUUUCUUCUGCCUCUUUAGCCCUCCUCUUCUCUAACCAGCCAGAGAACAUUCUCUGCUUUUAAGGACUUGUGAAAUUAGAUUGGCCCUACACAAAUAAUUCAAGAUAACCUCCCUAUCUGCAGGUCUGUAACCGCAUUACCUCUGCAAAGUCCCUUCCCAGCAGUACCUAGAUUUGACUGAAUAAGCAGGGGAUGGGUCUCUUGGAGGAACAUCUUCAGAAUUCUGCCUACCACACUUCCUAUAUGAGAAACAUGUUUGUUGCACCUUAAGAUCCAGUGGGAUGAAGGAAAGUAAGAAAGGAGAGUGAAGAGAAAUGAUAUUUGGCUCUAGGAAGGAAUUUGGAUUUUAUUUUCAUUUAGAUGGGAAUCUAUUGGAGGAUUUUUACAAGGGGAAGUAAUGUUAAGUUAUACUUUAAAAGUGAUCAGUAUGCUGACAGGAGAAAGCUUCCUUAGCAAUUGUCUUUCAUAUUGCCCAGCCAUGGAUAGAGAUGUGUUAACUGUGGCGUGAGCAAGACCUCCUCUAUGUCUUGGCGUAAGCCUGCAUGUGUCAGUGGCAAGGAUAUAGAGAAACUGUAGGAAGUGGGGGUCGACCCUUAAAAAAAUUUGGGCAUGAGCUCCGCAAGGCUUGUCUUGGCAAUCCUUUCAGAUACCAGACCACUGGCCCACAGCCUAUUUUGCUGCCUAAGCUAGGGGUACAGCCCAGGCACUGCUGAGAUAACCAAUCUCAUCUGGCAUUUUCACAGCCAUUAUUUAGCUCAGGGAUUCCAACAACCCAGUACCAUUUGCCUUGUGACCUCCAGAAACACCUGUCAUAUUUGAAAAUGGUAACCUUCUCUCUUUUCCAACAUCACACUGGAUUGAUUCUUAGUGUGUAUUUUUUCAUUUCAAUGAAAAUUUUGCACAUACGGGCAGGAAAGGUAAAUUUGUGGCUUAGGCCACUAUUUUAAAUGGAAAGUUUGUUACUAUACCUUUUAUUAUUAAGCUAAUAUAUUCUUCUGGGGGAAAAAAAAUGCUGGGGUAGUUUUUUCCUAGAAGCCUUUUAAGGGAAAGUUGAGCUGCAUGCAUUUCUUGGAUACAAAGGUAAGGUGCAACUCUGACACUAAAGCAUGAGACUACCAAGCGCUGAUGGCUCCCUCUCUGGGACUGCAUGGCUUCAUCACACAUGGGGAUGAGAACUGGGGCCUGACAGUCCAGGGCAGUGAGUGAAGGUGAGCAAAGGAGGAGACAAGGCCUCUGCUCUGGACUCACUGACUGCACAGGUUGUUAUAAUAUGGGAGUGCUUGCCCUCGCCAUAUCCGAGGAACCUGGGACUUAGCUACGUUUCCCCUGCCAUCUCUACAUUUCUGAGCAGAAAUGGAUUGAGAGAGCUCUAAUAGCUGUGUUUCACUGGCCGUGGCAGGCCCUGUUGGUCAGCAGGCACACCGCUGCUUGUUGAGAUGCCUGAGCCCAGCUGUCACAAAACACCAAUGGCCCAAGUGCCCUUAACAACAGCAUGUUGCCUUUAUAAAACGCCACCUUAUGUGGACUUCCUAAUUUUUCUUUUUCUCUUAAGUGGUUAUUAUAUAUUAAGUGGUCCAUUAUGCUGACUUAACUCCUUAAUAAAGCCCUCUCUUCAUGUUUUCCCGUUGUUUUUAUAAUGAGCCAAAUUAGUAAUAAAGUUAGCCCUUACCUGACUAUACUUUGUUUUGUACCUCCCAGUACCCAGCACCUGAUACUGUGUAAGCAAUUCUCAAAUUCAUAAAUUUUUGGUAAGUGAUAACAGAAAUCUGGAUGUGUUAUUAAGGAAUGACCAGUACAAUUUCCCUUUAUCACUAAAAAAACAAAUCUUACGGAGUCUGUACAAACUCUCUAAGGUUAGAAUCACUGGCAGUUUUCUAAUGUCCAUUUUAAUGCUCUUUCCAUUAUAAGCCGUGUUGUAAAAGUAUUUUUUAAGGGCAAGAGUUAAAAGUGGUGACUGCAUCUUAUCUAUUCUCCCAAGACUCCCUCCAUUCACCCAGGCUGCUGGGGCAAACCUUCAAGAUGGCCUCACCUGCUUAAACUGUUUAAAAUGUGCUCCCUCACCACCAGCUCCCCAACUAAGGUCAAGAACUAGGAAUAUAAGAAGGAAGUAAAAAGAUGUUAUCUUUAUCCAACCUGUCCUUUUGCCAUGGACCUUGAUAGAAUCCUUUCUUUUAAUCAGAUCCCUAAAGGUGGGCUGUAAAGUGUCCCUUAAAAAAACACUGGGAGAGUAAAAAUGGAGACCAAUAAAUAACAUAUAAGCAUGAGUAGAGAAAAAUAAUAAUCUGGGACAGACCUUUAAAAAAGUUCUAAAGUGUAGAAAAGGAGAAACAUAACUAAGAGAUAUUUCUUUGGAAUUAGAAUUUUUCCACAAAACUAAAGAUAGAUGGCAUAUGAUCUCUAAUAAUAUGAUGCAAAUACCACAAACACUAAGCAGAAUGAGCUAGGACAACCACACAAAAUAGCUGAAAAGAUCCUUCACAGCAACAAGAGCAAAAUCAAGGCAGAUUCAAAGAAGAGGCACAAUCAUAAAACAUGAACCAGGCCUUUUAAAUCUGUAUUUUACUAUUUAAUCCUCACUCUCCAACAAGACAGGUAUAAACUAUUCUCACUUUAGAAUUGAGAUUGAAUAAUUAAGUAACCAACAGUCACCAGUAAAUGACAGAGCCAGAAUUCAACAGGUCUAUUUGGCUCCACAGCCCAUGAUCUUUAGACUAUGAUUCCAUUAAGACCAGCUUGUCAAUAUGAAAGGCACACCUGAGAGAUAUUUUAGAAUUGAGAAAAUGAGUUAAAAUUUCAGAAAAUUAGAAAUUUACCACAGAAUGAAUACAUAUCAAAAGGAUCAUAUAUUAUUAUUAGAUGUAUAAUAAAGAUUUAAGAAGGCCUGAAAUCAUAAAUUAGAAUUACCAUAUUCAUAUCAAAAUUGUUAAGCAUUAAUACCAUAACCAAGUGACAUGUUUAGUAAAAUGUGUAUUUCUACUAAGGGAAUGUAAUUUUUGAAGACAUUAAAUAUCAGGCUAGCAUUCAUGUUUCUGAAACAAUAGCUAAAGACAGGGCAGUGCCACACUUGAGAUAAUUUAAUCCAAGAUUAUUAUAUUCGAUGAAGACAAUCGCAUGUGGCGAGAGUAAGCAAUCUUAAAGUUUCAGUAAGCUUCCUAUCCAACUGCUUCAGAAACACUCAAAAUCACAAAGUGUUGAGACAAAGAAAGCUUCUCUGUGGUAUAACGUAGAAACAACAGUUGACUCCCCAGCUCAAAUUUUCUUUCCAGCUUUAAAAUAUCCUGACUAUUCCUUUCAGGUUUAGAUUCUUAUUUAACAGAGUAGACCUUAAUUCAGGAAAGACCAUUUCUUGAGCUAACAAGAGAGACAUGGGCUCUGCUUAAUCCAAGAUGAGCUAAACCAACUAGACUUUCUCUCCUUGUCACAAUUUCUAAACUCCAUAGAAAGAAGUGGCCCUGUGGCUGGUGAUCAAGGGAGCUUAAAGUCAGGGCUGGCAGAAGCUGUAACUGAAAAAAACUGAUAAUAAAUAUUAAGACCAAAUUUCAGAGCUAAAUAAAACAUUAACAGCUAGAGGGCAAAUGCUGAUAAAUCUAAAUAGCUAGACCCAAGAAGGUGGGAGUGAUCUGCAAUUAAACACCAAGAAAGAAAAACUAGAGAAUUCCUUGACAUCAAUACCAAAGAAACCAAGUUUAUAGUGCUGUUUAUAUAGAAAUAGAAAGGGAUAAAGACAGUAAUGAAUAUUGUGGAAUGUUUUAGGAUGUUAAAAGAUAUAACUAAGAACUGAAGACAAGAAGUUUAACGUCCAAAUUCUAAUAAAAAAGGCCAGGCGUGGUGGCUCAUGCCUGUAAUCCCAACACUUCAGGAGGCUGAGGUGGGUGGAUCGUUUGAGGCCAGGAGUUCGAGAGCAGCCUGGGCAACAUGGUGAAACCCCAUCUCGAUUAAAAAUACAAAAAUUAGCUGGGUGUGGUGGUGCAAACCUGUGGUCUCAGCUACAAGGGAGACUGAGGCACAAGAAUCACUGGAACCCAGGAGGCAGAGGUUGCAGUGAGCUGAGAUCACACCACUGCACUCCAGCCUAGGCAACACAGCGAGACUGUUUCAAAAUAACCAAAACAAAACAAAAAAUGAAUUCUAAUGAAAGACAAUCACAUAUUACAAAGGGAAAAACUAAAAAUUGCAACAAUCUUUUAACAUAAAAACAGAAGGCAAACCAAGAAUAAAAAUUUAAACUAUAUACACAAACUGUCUAAAUUCAACAACUAAAAGUGUUUCAAUUUGUCAUUUCAAAUUGCACUGUUCACAAGAGAAAACAUUAGAACUUAAAUAUAACCUCCACGAGACCAAGGAUAUUUGUGUUGUUCAUUGCUCUACGUUCACUACCUUCAGUUUUUUGAAUAAAUGCAAAAAGAAUGCCAACAAAUACCAAAACUGCCUACUGCCCAAUGCUGCCAUAGCUCUGAUUCAGUGCAGAUGGAGUUUUACACAGGAACUACUUUUUCAAGAGGACAAUUUAGAAUGCAAGCCAAAAGCUUUAAAAAGUGCAUAUUCUUUAAUCCAGGAAUUACUCAAG
rnacentral:lncRNA from 10 species